CGCGGCUACCUUCUCCCCUUGGAAGGCAAAGGCUCAAGAGUGCUCUUUACCCAAAAUCAAGUCUUCCACCUUAGGGAAGGACUGGAGAGAUGGGGGUGGGGGUAGAGAUUCCAAGGGCUGCCCUUUAGUGGGGCAAGAAGGCCUAAGCGCCCUUCCUGGACCCCUAAAGGUUGGCAGACAGGGAAGAAAAUGGCAGAUGUAGGGGCUGAAUUCUGUCAAGGAGUGGAGGCGGGUCCCAUGGUCCUCCGUGUCCUCAGAGCCUGCUUUUACAGUCUGGGGCAAAUUUCUACUAGGUGGUCUGACAGUACUGCACUGCGUGGGCUCAGCGAAGAGAACGCCCUGGGGGAUGAGUAGUUGCAGGUGGGCUGGACCAGUGGUGAAGCUUGCUUAAGUAGCCCUUCCCUGUCUGACCCAGGAAGAGCACAGGCUCUUUUGUUAGUUUGAGAACUGGGUCUCACCCUGUAGCCCUGAAACACAAUGUGUACCAGGCUGACCUCAGAGGUCCGACUGCCUCCUGCUCCAGAGCUCUGGGUCUAAAGGUGUGCGCCACCACACCCUUAGGUUUUCCCACCAGAGUUUAGCUUUGAGGCUCUCCCCUGUGUGAGUUUUAAGUGUACCUGGAGGUGAAGCUGCCACUGUCCUUAGCCCAGGUCUGGCUCUGUUCAAGCCUUGAGGAAGCUCUCCUUUUCCCUCAGCUACCGUCUGAGGCUUCUGACUGGGCAGGUUUCCCACUCCAGGCCAGUUCUCUCCAGUCCUCUCUCUGACGGUUCCCCCAACAUAUUCUGGAGGGAAGGGACCUGUGCAGGUGGAGUGUCUUCCCAGAAGUCUACAGUGGCACGGGCCUGAGGUGUUGCCCUGUCACACCUGAAACCUUACCAUGGGUCCCUCCUGGGCUUGUCAGAGAGUUUUGAAUACAAAAGCGGUCUAGAGGAUCUCCAAAUACACCAGGACCAUGAAGACAGCUCAAGAGCUUCAAAAGUCCAGAAUCAGGAUUUUGGGGGGCAGAAUGCAGACGGGGUCUUAGCUCUGGAGAUAGGACCCUGUUGGGACUUAAGGAUAGUGGCCCAUCACUCCACAAAGGAACAAAGCCGAGGGCUGGCCCUGGGAUGAGGAGUUCCCCAGAAUGAUCCCAGUAUGUCGGGGUUGAGGGGUAGAAUGGUCCUUACCAAGGCCUCGGAAUAUCCUGAAUUAGAUGUAAAGUGACUAGACAACAAAGGAGACGUCUGUAGUCUACCUGCCUCCACCUUCUGUAUGGGGGAUCAGAGAACUGUCAGAGAUGGAUGAGAGCCCUUGGAACGAUAACAAAAAGUGACUGAGGUGGCCCUAGUGCACAUGGAGCUUGACAGCAACUGUUCUAUGAAACCUCCAUGUAGCUGGGCAGAACUGAAGACCUGAGGGGAUCCCAGGUUGGGCUCUAGAAGAGACCCUGUUUUCUUUGUUGAUACCCCAGACUGGCACCCUGGGACUCACAGGCCAGAGUGACCAGCCAGCUAUGACAGCAGUUGGAGACGCCCAAAGGCUAGUGAACGGAGACUUAUGGCCUGUUACUAACACUACUAGGUCCAACACAGUACAUGGCUCUUAACCCCCCAAGCUUGGAGGAAAAAGCAGGAGGAUCAGGAGUCUAAGGUCAUCCUCAAAUACAGCAAGUUUGAGGCCAGCCUGGUUUCCUGGAGACCCUGCCUCAAAAGCAACAGUGACAGAAAAAAAAAAAACAAAAAACUACCACAUCACUGAGUAACAUUUGAGUUAUGAAAUACAACAUUGGGAAGAGUACAGAAGACAGUACCUGUAAUGUAAAUCUCUUGUGUAACCCAUGUCAGGAAGAAGGAAAAGAAAAAGCAAGCCAUCUCUUCAGAAGGCCCCUACUAGCUUUUCUGUUCACUAUGUAGCCCUGGCUAACCUGCAACUCCCUAUGUAGACCAGGCUGGCCUCAGACAAACUCAGAGAUCCACCUGUCUCUGCCUCCUGAGUGCUGGGAUUAAGGGCACGGCACACCACAGCUGGCUGGUAC
ensembl:lncRNA